AACAACAAAGAGCGCAGUUAGUGUGUUAGUAUGGUCAGUGAUUUCUGGCAUACCAGCAUGCACAUGGCGAUAGUAGGUCAGCGGCUGUUAGUGUUUGAGCAUGCGCAAACAACAGGCACGCAUUGUUCGGAAAUCCUUCUAGGCUUGGGUGCUUAUUAUCGGAAAGUUCGUAUUUUUUAUUCAUUUAUUCGGUUUUUGCGUGUUUUUUUC